UACGAAGGGGGCUAGCGUUGUUCGGAUUUACUGGGCGUAAAGCGCACGUAGGCGGAUCGUUAAGUCGGGGGUGAAAUCCUGGAGCUCAACUCCAGAACUGCCUUCGAUACUGGCGAUCUUGAGUCCGGAAGAGGUGAGUGGAACUCCUAGUGUAGAGGUGGAAUUCGUAGAUAUUAGGAAGAACACCAGUGGCGAAGGCGGCGU
rnacentral:rRNA from 1 species